rnacentral:rRNA from 1 species
ACUCUAAGCGGUGGAUCACUCGGCUCAUGGGUCGAUGAAGAACGCAGCAAACUGUGCGUCAUCGUGUGAACUGCAGGACACAUGAACAUCGACAUUUUGAACGCAUAUCGCAGUCCAUGCUGUUAUGUACUUUAAUUAAUUUUAUAGUGCUGCUUGGACUACAUAUGGUUGAGGGUUGUAAGACUAUGCUAAUUAAGUUGCUUAUAAAUUUUUAUAAGCAUAUGGUAUAUUAUUGGAUAAAUAUAAUAAUUUUUAUUCAUAAUAUUAAAAAAUAAAUGAAAAACAUUAUCUCACAUUUGAAUGUGAAAAACGAAGAGAAAUAUUUUCUUUUUCAAUCAAAUAAUACUGAGAAAUGUCUAGCAUAAAAAAUUGAAAUAUUUUUCAUCUAGAAUUGUCUCUUAUUAAUGAUUCGGAAAUAGAAAAAUCUUGGUUAUGUUAUUAUUCUUCGUUGGUUCGUUAAAAAUGGAUAAAUAAAAACUUUGCAUACAAGAAUUAAUAAAAAUGUUAUAACGAAUUUAAUUAAAUGUUUUAUCAUUAUAUAUAAAGAAUUUAUGGCAAGAUAAAGUUAUAUACAACCUCAACUCAUAUGGGACUACCCCCUGAAUUUAAGCAUAUUAAUUAGGGGAGGAAAAGAAACUAACAAGGAUUUUCUUAGUAGCGGCGAGCGAAAAGAAAACAGUUCAGCACUAAGUCACUUUGUCUAUAUGGCAAAUGUGAGAUGCAGUGUAUGGAGCGUCAAUAUUCUAGUAUGAGAAAUUAACGAUUUAAGUCCUUCUUAAAUGAGGCCAUUUACCCAUAGAGGGUGCCAGGCCCGUAUAACGUUAAUGAUUACUAGAUGAUGUUUCCAAAGAGUCGUGUUGCUUGAUAGUGCAGCACUAAGUGGGUGGUAAACUCCAUCUAAAACUAAAUAUAACCAUGAGACCGAUAGUAAACAAGUACCGUGAGGGAAAGUUGAAAAGAACUCUGAAUAGAGAGUUAAACAGUACGUGAAACUGCUUAGAGGUUAAGCCCGAUGAACCUGAAUAUCCGUUAUGGAAAAUUCAUCAUUAAAAUUGUAAUAUUUAAAUAAUAUUAUGAGAAUAGUGUGCAUUUUUUCCAUAUAAGGACAUUGUAAUCUAUUAGCAUAUACCAAAUUUAUCAUAAAAUAUAACUUAUAGUUUAUUCCAAUUAAAUUGCUUGCAUUUUAACACAGAAUAAAUGUUAUUAAUUUGAUAAAGUGCUGAUAGAUUUAUAUGAUUACAGUGCGUUAAUUUUUCGGAAUUAUAUAAUGGCAUAAUUAUCAUUGAUUUUUGUGUUUAUUAUAUGCACUUGUAUGAUUAACAAUGCGAAAGAUUCAGGAUACCUUCGGGACCCGUCUUGAAACACGGACCAAGGAGUCUAACAUAUGUGCAAGUUAUUGGGAUAUAAACCUAAUAGCGUAAUUAACUUGACUAAUAAUGGGAUUAGUUUUUUAGCUAUUUAUAGCUAAUUAACACAAUCCCGGGGCGUUCUAUAUAGUUAUGUAUAAUGUAUAUUUAUAUUAUUUAUGCCUCUAACUGGAACGUACCUUGAGCAUAUAUGCUGUGACCCGAAAGAUGGUGAACUAUACUUGAUCAGGUUGAAGUCAGGGGAAACCCUGAUGGAAGACCGAAACAGUUCUGACGUGCAAAUCGAUUGUCAGAAUUGAGUAUAGGGGCGAAAGACCAAUCGAACCAUCUAGUAGCUGGUUCCUUCCGAAGUUUCCCUCAGGAUAGCUGGUGCAUUUUAAUAUUAUAUAAAAUAAUCUUAUCUGGUAAAGCGAAUGAUUAGAGGCCUUAGGGUCGAAACGAUCUUAACCUAUUCUCAAACUUUAAAUGGGUAAGAACCUUAACUUUCUUGAUAUGAAGUUCAAGGUUAUGAUAUAAUGUGCCCAGUGGGCCACUUUUGGUAAGCAGAACUGGCGCUGUGGGAUGAACCAAACGUAAUGUUACGGUGCCCAAAUUAACAACUCAUGCAGAUACCAUGAAAGGCGUUGGUUGCUUAAAACAGCAGGACGGUGAUCAUGGAAGUCGAAAUCCGCUAAGGAGUGUGUAACAACUCACCUGCCGAAGCAACUAGCCCUUAAAAUGGAUGGCGCUUAAGUUGUAUACCUAUACAUUACCGCUAAAGUAGAUGAUUUAUAUUACUUGUGAUAUAAAUUUUGAAACUUUAGUGAGUAGGAAGGUACAAUGGUAUGCGUAGAAGUGUUUGGCGUAAGCCUGCAUGGAGCUGCCAUUGGUACAGAUCUUGGUGGUAGUAGCAAAUAAUCGAAUGAGACCUUGGAGGACUGAAGUGGAGAAGGGUUUCGUGUGAACAGUGGUUGAUCACGAGUUAGUCGGUCCUAAGUUCAAGGCGAAAGCCGAAAAUUUUCAAGUAAAACAAAAAUGCCUAACUAUAUAAACAAAGCGAAUUAUAAUACACUUGAAUAAUUUUGAACGAAAGGGAAUACGGUUCCAAUUCCGUAACCUGUUGAGUAUCCGUUUGUUAUUAAAUAUGGGCCUCGUGCUCAUCCUGGCAACAGGAACGACCAUAAAGAAGCCGUCGAGAGAUAUCGGAAGAGUUUUCUUUUCUGUUUUAUAGCCGUACUACCAUGGAAGUCUUUCGCAGAGAGAUAUGGUAGAUGGGCUAGAAGAGCAUGACAUAUACUGUUGUGUCGAUAUUUUCUCCUCGGACCUUGAAAAUUUAUGGUGGGGACACGCAAACUUCUCAACAGGCCGUACCAAUAUCCGCAGCUGGUCUCCAAGGUGAAGAGUCUCUAGUCGAUAGAAUAAUGUAGGUAAGGGAAGUCGGCAAAUUAGAUCCGUAACUUCGGGAUAAGGAUUGGCUCUGAAGAUUGAGAUAGUCGGGCUUGAUUGGGAAACAAUAACAUGGUUUAUGUGCUCGUUCUGGGUAAAUAGAGUUUCUAGCAUUUAUGUUAGUUACUUGUUCCCCGGAUAGUUUAGUUACGUAGCCAAUUGUGGAACUUUCUUGCUAAAAUUUUUAAGAAUACUAUUUGGGUUAAACCAAUUAGUUCUUAUUAAUUAUAACGAUUAUCAAUUAACAAUCAAUUCAGAACUGGCACGGACUUGGGGAAUCCGACUGUCUAAUUAAAACAAAGCAUUGUGAUGGCCCUAGCGGGUGUUGACACAAUGUGAUUUCUGCCCAGUGCUCUGAAUGUCAAAGUGAAGAAAUUCAAGUAAGCGCGGGUCAACGGCGGGAGUAACUAUGACUCUCUUAAGGUAGCCAAAUGCCUCGUCAUCUAAUUAGUGACGCGCAUGAAUGGAUUAACGAGAUUCCUACUGUCCCUAUCUACUAUCUAGCGAAACCACAGCCAAGGGAACGGGCUUGGAAUAAUUAGCGGGGAAAGAAGACCCUUUUGAGCUUGACUCUAAUCUGGCAGUGUAAGGAGACAUAAGAGGUGUAGAAUAAGUGGGAGAUAUUAGACCUCGGUUUGGUAUCGUCAAUGAAAUACCACUACUCUUAUUGUUUCCUUACUUACUUGAUUAAAUGGAACGUGUAUCAUUUCCUAGCCAUUAUACGGAUAUAUUUAUUAUAUCUUAUGGUAUUGGGUUUUGAUGCAAGCUUCUUGAUCAAAGUAUCACGAGUUUGUUAUAUAAUCGCAAACAAAUUCUUUAAUAAAACGAUGCAUUUAUGUAUUUUUGAUUUGAAAAUUUGGUAUAACUCCAAUUACUCAGGUAUGAUCCAAUUCAAGGACAUUGCCAGGUAGGGAGUUUGACUGGGGCGGUACAUCUCUCAAAUAAUAACGGAGGUGUCCCAAGGCCAGCUCAGUGCGGACAGAAACCACACAUAGAGCAAAAGGGCAAAUGCUGACUUGAUCUCGGUGUUCAGUA